rnacentral:misc_RNA from 1 species
GAUGAAGAACGUAGCGAAAUGCGAUAUGUAAUGUGAAUUGCAGAGUUCAGUGAAUCAUCGAAUCUUUGAACGCACAUUGCGCCCGUCAGUAUUCUGACGGGCAUGCCUGUCCGAGCGUCAUUUCAACCCUCAAGCACUGCUUGGCGUUGGCGGAUUGCGUGCCCUCGCGGCGCUGCAACCGCCCAAAUACAGUGGCGGUCCCGCUGCGGCUCCCUUUGCGUAGUAACUCACCUCGCACUGGACCGGGCGGCGGCCUGCCGUAAAACCCCAACUCACGAAAUGUUGACCUCGGAUCAGGUAGGAAUACCCGCUGAACUUAAGCAUAUCAAUAAGCGGAGGA